UAAGCUGACACGCCGCGAUUUAACUGGAAUAUUGUUAAAAGCGGCGUUAAACCCAACUCUCUCACACUCAACAUUUAAACGGUGGCACGAAGAACGCAAGUCACGGUCAAUUGCGGACAAUUUGGAAUUACCGCAAAAGUGCUUGACAGAGGAUAUAGUCGAAAUGAGCCUAUCUACUAUGAACACCGCUUUCAAAUAUUUCCUUUUUGAGGCGAGGAAACAGGACGGCACCCAGUACAUGGCGGAUACUAUACAUGGACUGUUUACCGCUCUUCAGAGGGGCUUGAGGCUUAAAGGGCGAAAGAACAUUAAUUUGUUCGAGGAUCAACAGUUUGAAGAGAGCAGAACAUGUCUGGACGCUUUAAUGAAGGAACUUUCUAAAAAAGGACUGGGCUGCUCUGCCAGGAAGAAAACUGAAACUAUAUCAAUGGACGACGAAUCUUACCGGUAAGUAAAGUAAUUCACACAGUUGUUUUUCUUUAUAUCUUCGAAAAUCACUUUUACAAAUACAGUAAACUACGGUUAUAACGAACACGCUUAUAACGAACUGACGGAUAUAACGAACUACGUUUUUGGUCCCGACUAUUUGCUGGAGUUAUGCAGUAUAUAUGCUUAUAACGAACUACGGUUAAAACGAACUAAAAUUAGUAGUCCCUUUGAGUUCGUUAUAACCGUACUUUACUGUAGUAUAUACUAAAUCAUUGGAAUUUGUUCAUUCACAUAUAAAAUUGAUAUAAUGUGUGAACCUUUUUGAACACAAAAGUUUAACAGUUUGUUGAAAUAAUUAACUGAAUUUUCAUUAUUGUUCAUAUUUGCCGUUGUCUGAAAUACACAUUUUCAAAACAUUUACACAAGUUUGCAUUUCGCACUGCGAGGAGGAAGAGAGCACAGAGCGCUGAGGCUGUUCUCGAACCCCCAAAUAACAGGUCCCCACACUGACGAUAAUGGCAGAAAGUAUCUUCUCUACACGGAAGACGCGUCAAAGACUAAUCACGGCGGCCUGAAGCACAGGAAGCUGGUACCGAAACAAGUUCGAGCGUAUGAGAACACGGACAACCCUAAAAGAUGUUUUGUGCGUCUUUUUGAAAAGAACAGGUCUUUGUGUAAACCUGGUCAACAUACUGAAUACUUCUACUUCACUCCAAGAAGGACUAGAACGUCGAAAGACUGGUAUACUGCAAAUGCCAUCGGCCACAACACCUUACAAGUUACCGUCAAAAGACUGUGCGAGACGUCCGGUAUUCAGGGCAUGAAGACAAACCAUUCCUUGAGAGCCACGGCAGCCACUCGAUUGCAUCAAGGUGACGUUGAUGAACAAAUGAUUUGCGAAAUUACCGGACAUCGGAGCGACGCCGUUCGAAAUUACAAGAACUUCUGACAUCCAAAAGGCAACGGUCUCUGACAUACUUAGUAUGUCAAAAAAAAUGAACUCGCUAUCACGUGAAGAAGCUGAUCCGAUAAGAGCAGAUGACCGAAGACCUGAAGACAAACUCAAUCGAACUGUGACGCUCAAUUUCAAUUUCAACUAAUAUCAACAAAUAGUUGAGCCAUGUUCUGUUGUUUUUUUCAUGCAGAAAGGUAAUUCAAUACAGAGGGUAUUCUUCGGGACAAAAACCAGGCUUUCAGUAGAAAAUCUCCCGGGAUUUCUUGCAGAAAGCCCGGGGCUUCCCCUAGGAAUGCCCGGGGAUUACCCUGGGUUUAUGCCCGGGGCUUAUCCUAGGAAUGCCCGGGGCUUACCCUAGGAAUGCCCGGGGAUUACCCACGGUAUAUGCCCGGGGCUUACCCUGGGCUUACCCUGGGAAUACCCGGUAAACUACCAGUAGAGGUUUAGUCGGUAAAAGAAGACCCCGGCGAGACAAUAGUGACGUCACUAGAGGUUUAUAGUACCCACCCGAACCGAGUACCCAAGUUACCCGUCCCAGCCCUAGUAGAUAUAACAGUUUAUUUCGGCAUGAUCUAACGAAAGCUGGCCAUGCGUGACAAACUCGAAGUCAUUCAAAACAUUUGAUACGCCGUGUAACACAACACGUUCGAAACUCAUGGAAAUCCACGAACAACUUCCUUGCAGGUCGCCACGCGCAAGGUCAAGGUCUACCAGCUAUAUCCUUGCCCUGUGUGAACCAAAACGAUGACAAUAAUUAAUGUCUGUCAUUUACCGACCCCCCGUUUCUUUGCUAUCAUCUUCUCUCUUCUAUUAAGCCUCACCAACGUACCCUCGGGGCAUCGUGUUUUAGCCUGCCGCCCGUCUUCACCCCCCUCCCUCCCCUCGUAACGUCCCAUCGUAUUAACGAAGCUUGUCAUCCCACGUGGGAACCCCAUCUUGUCUACCUGCCCUGUUGACAGUUUGGAGCAGGCUUGGACUAUUCCUAGUGUUAUACGACAGGCCUCGUUGAUUUUAUCGUGGGCAAUGAGUUACAGGUAUGAAAACACAAGUCUAUCAAUACAGGCAGUACGAGAGCUGAAAACGAGACUAGAAUAUACAUAGCAUGCAUAACCACGCCUACCUGUCC